AUUGAACGCUGGCGGCAGGCCUAACACAUGCAAGUCGAACGGUAACAGGAAGACGCUUGCUUCUUUGCUGACGAGUGGCGGACGGGUGAGUAAUGUCUGGGAAACUGCCUGACGGAGGGGGAUAACUACUGGAAACGGUAGCUAAUACCGCAGAACGUCGCAAGACCAAAGAGGGGGACCUUCGUGCCUCUUGCCAUCGGGUGUGCCCAUAUGGGGUUAGCUAGUAGGUGGGGGAACGGCUCGCCGAGGCGGCGAUCCCUAGCUGGUCUGAGAGGAUGACCCGCCACACUGGAACUGAGACACGGUACAGACUCCUACGGGAGGAAGCAGUGGGGAAUAUUGCACAAUGGGCGAAAGCCUGAUGCAGCAAUGCCGCGUGUAGGAAGAAGGACUUCGGGUUGUAAAGUACUUUAAGCGGGGAGGAAGGGAGUAAAGUUAACACCUUUGCUCAUUGACGUUACCCGCAGAAGAAGCACCGGCUAACUCCGUG
rnacentral:rRNA from 1 species